rnacentral:rRNA from 1 species
UACGGAGGGUGCGAGCGUUGUCCGGAAUCAUUGGGCGUAAAGGGCUCGUAGGCGGUUCGUCACGUCGGGAGUGAAAACUCGGGGCUUAACCCCGAGCCUGCUUCCGAUACGGGCAGACUAGAGGUAGGCAGGGGAGAGCGGAACUCCUGGUGUAGCGGUGGAAUGCGCAGAUAUCAGGAAGAACACCGGUGGCGAAGGCGGCUCUCUGGGCCUUACCUGACGCUGAGGAGCGAAAGCGUGGGUAGCGAACAGG